UGUGGGAAGCUUGCAGGGAGAAAGUCAAUGGGCAUGUCAGCAUGAAGUAGAAAGCCCAAGGUCAGGAGGCAGGAAAAGGAAUGCUCUUCACCUCUGACCCUCGGCCAAGAUUCCUUCCUGUAUUAGUGGUUACAGAUGACAAGACAUCACAAGAGAAGCAUCUUCAGCCAAAACAGAUAUGAUGGAAGGGUUGGCUUGGUGCCUGAAGUCUGAAGUCAGGGUAUGGCUGGAGAGGAACUGGCUGAAUGCCGCCAAACGGAGUGGCUUUGACUUUAAGGUAUGAAUGAUUCUGUGGAAAUUCAAUAUCUGGCUCUGAACAGGGUUU